CAUGCAAGUCGAGGGGAAACGACAUCGAAAGCUUGCUUUUGAUGGGCGUCGACCGGCGCACGGGUGAGUAACGCGUAUCCAACCUGCCCACCACUUGGGGAUAACCUUGCGAAAGUAAGACUAAUACCCAAUGACGUCUCUAGAAGACAUCUGAAAGAGAUUAAAGAUUUAUCGGUGAUGGAUGGGGAUGCGUCUGAUUAGCUUGUUGGCGGGGUAACGGCCCACCAAGGCGACGAUCAGUAGGGGUUCUGAGAGGAAGGUCCCCCACAUUGGAACUGAGACACGGUCCAAACUCCUACGGGAGGCAGCAGUGAGGAAUAUUGGUCAAUGGGCGAGAGCCUGAACCAGCCAAGUAGCGUGCAGGAUGACGGCCCUAUGGGUUGUAAACUGCUUUUAUAAGGGAAUAAAGUGAGUCUCGUGAGACUUUUUGCAUGUACCUUAUGAAUAAGGACCGGCCAAUUCCGUGCCAGCAGCCGCGGUAAUACGGAAGGUCCGGGCGUUAUCCGGAUUUAUUGGGUUUAAAGGGAGCGUAGGCCGGAGAUUAAGCGUGUUGUGAAAUGUAGACGCUCAACGUCUGCACUGCAGCGCGAACUGGUUUCCUUGAGUACGCACAAAGUGGGCGGAAUUCGUGGUGUAGCGGUGAAAUGCUUAGAUAUCACGAAGAACUCCGAUUGCGAAGGCAGCUCACUGGAGCGCAACUGACGCUGAAGCUCGAAAGUGCGGGUAUCGAACAGGAUUAGAUACCCUGGUAGUCCGCACGGUAAACGAUGGAUGCCCGCUGUUGGUCUGAAUAGGUCAGCGGCCAAGCGAAAGCAUUAAGCAUCCC
rnacentral:rRNA from 1 species